GGGAGACACACUCCGCUCAAAUCUUUCAUGUGGAACGAUGUCCACUAAUUUCAUACUUCUAGCCUUUGCUACACAUGUCCCAGCUUACCUUUCCUCAGAGAAUUAACUUCCAGAUUGGUACAUUUAAAAGAGCGAAUUGAGCAUAGGAAGUCUUCGAAGAAAUUGUUGGUGUGUGGCGGGAUGAAGGUGCCUAGUCCAGGGAAUAUAAAGCAAAUCCUAGGGUUUCACGCUAAGAAACUGCCCACAGGUAACACCCAGUUCUAACUUUGUGAGUCGUGUUUUACAGAAUAACAUUCCCCCCAUCUCCAUAAUCUGCUAAUAUGUUCUGAAUGUGGCAGACAGACAUAAGAUGCCCGAAUAGGCCCCCUGGCUGGGGACAAGAACAUCAGAGUCGGGAAGGAUGUGAGAGAAGUAGAGGUCACAGAGACUUGAAGAUACUGCCCAGUUAGCCUGGAAAAUGGACCAAAGGAGUGCAGGCCUGUGGUGACACUUUGCUUAUGAUCUAACAAAUAAAGUUUGCCUGAAGAUCAGAGUAGAGCUAGCCACACUAGUUAGCCAUAGAGGCCAGACAGUGAUGGUGCAUGCCUUUAAUCCCAGCACUUGGGAGACAGAGGCAGAUGGCUCUGGCUACACAAAAUUGACUCAGGCUAAAAGAGAAACAGAGUGCACACAAAGGUGAUCCCAGCACUUGGAGUGACGUGUCUUAAUCCCAGACUAGAGAGGACUAUAAGGCAGGAGGAGACAGGAGCUCAGUGCAGUCUGGACAUGCAUCCUGAGUACAGGAUCACCCUUUGGUCUGAGCAUUGGUAGAGGUGAGAAUUCUCAAGUGGCUGGCCACUUUGCUCUUGUAGUCUUCAGCUUGAACCCCAGUAUCUGACUCUGUGUUUUUAUUAUUAAUACCAACUAGAAUUUGUGCCACAGGCAGCCUAUCGAAACUGGAUAGGACACGCACCUGGAUUCUUGAGUUUAGGACUUUUGACUUCUAGAACACUUAACAUGAAUUGUUAUUAAGCCACUCAGUUUGUACUAACUUACCACAACAGCCAUAAGAAACCAGCACCAUCAACAAUAAAGGUGACAGUGUCCUGGUGCAUUCUCCUUUAUCUAGAAAAGAGAAAGCACACAGUGUGUCAGGCUGCUUCACAGACUAGGCACUGUGACUAUGGUCUGAUGGAGGGGCCCUCAACAUUUAGAGGAAAAUGUCCAACAGCCAAACAGCACAGGUCUGUGACUGAUGAGAAACGCUUAGUCCUGAGAACAUUAAAAUGUGUGCCCUUGAAAGGGAUUGUGGGAGCCUGGCCUUUUUGUUUCUUUUUGCAUCCUUGUCAUGAGGUGAGUGGUUUUGCUCCGACAUGCACUCCGUCACUCCACAUGCCUAAAACAAUGGAGCCCAUGAAUACCAGACUGAAACCUCUGUAAUUGUGAGCUAGAACAAAUAUGGUUAUCUCACAUAUUUUGUUAAGGUGAGGAUGGGAAACUACCAUACCACUGGAAAGAGAUCUGCACACCAAUCCACUCAGUUACAAAUGCCGAGUGAGCAAAUGUACUCAGGGCUUCCGGGCAGGGACAUGAAGUGGGAAACAUGGUUAUGCAAUUCAGUUAUAUAACUGGUAUCAUCUAUAAAGAGAGUCGCAUCAGUUAUCCAGAGUGGCCCAAGGAUUUGUGACUUCCAACUCGGAAAGAAGAGUAUCUGAAGCUCAUGGAAGGAACAGAGAAAAUCACACACUGUUUAUAACAGGAUCCUUAAAUAUCCAGCUAAGGCCAUUUCACCAAACACUUGCAAGUUAGUAUGAGCUGUGCUACUUCUGUCCAGACAACUAUGGCAAUCACUCAGUUAUGCAAGCUAUUCGAUUUGGAGCAGAGACAAACAGGCCCAGAACGACUAGGUCAGUGACCACAGACUAAAACCUCUGAAACUACCUCUGGGGAUGGAAGGGUUUGGCCCAGGAGUGAGAGCACUUGCUGAUCUUGCAGAGGACCAGAGAUGAGCUCCCAGCACCCACAUCAGACAGAUCACAACUCCCUGCAACUGCAGCUCCAGGUGAUCCAGCACCCUCUCUUCUGGCCUCCACAGGCACCCACACACAUGCACAUGCUCACAUAUACAAAAAUAAAAACUGAUCUUCGUAAAUUAA